UCACUUUCGAUCAAAUUUGGUUUUCAAAUCAUAUACCGAAUACUAACUCAGGAAACAAACACAGAGAAGAAAAAAAAAACGAAGAAGAGCGGUCCAAGCCAGGCAACUCAACGAGUCAGUCCAACCAGGACUCGUACGUCGUACGCGCCGGUACGCCCGCGAAAUGGAGCGACGCAUUAGCAACCGGUCCGUGUUGUGCUUUUCCUUUUCUUCAUCUGUGGACCCCACUGCCAGGUCAUCAUCUUCAAGUUCUAGCCCAAACAGAAACGCACGCACGCACGUAUUAUGUUGGCUGUUACUAACAUUUCAUCUCCAAUUGAUUUACGGCGAUUUAAGCCACCAUUUGACGCACCGUUUCUUCCUACAUAAGCUCCAUUCUCUCCUCUUCAUUUACCCUCACUCACCAUAGACCGAGAGCCUCCAGGCUGCUCGAAUUUUGCCUCGCAUGUCCGCAGUACCGUCGCGGUAAAUCGUCGAUUGUGUCUCCGGCGAGCGAUUUUCCGGCGAACUACUGUACCUCGACGUCCGCGACUUUGCCAUCGAGUUCCCUUGCGAAGCCGAGCUCCUUCGUCUACUAAAUCACCGCCAACAAGUACACGAACAUCGACUGCCAGCGACCACAACUACAUAUUCCAGUGACCUGUGCUGCCAUACAUUGUGGUUGUGCUGAUUGCAACGAGUGUUUCUGCGAAGAGUGUACCAACUCGUCCUCUCACCAAGGCAAGUGACACACACCAAAAGUCCCAGUUUUAAUUCUUGCACCGUAGUGUUUUUAUAGUAGACAUGUCUAGGGUUUAUGCUUUAUGCCUGCUAAUAAAUCCUAGUAGUUUAGCUACACCACUCCUAGACUCCUUUAGCCGCCAUUAAAUUUAGUUGUUACCUGCUAUGCCAUGGAAAAUGUUUUGAUAGAGGUUAAGGAAAAACAACUAAGUUUAAUGAAUUACCUGGGUGA